rnacentral:sRNA from 1 species
UCGGCCGAAACCACUGCUCACACACGCGUCGACACAUGCGACUGGGUGCCUGCCUGGCAGGUUGUCGCGUGGGAUGCGUGGAGGCCCAAC